rnacentral:rRNA from 1 species
GUGUUGAUGAGUGGGGGUAGAGCACUGACAGGGCUAGGGGGCAUACCCGCCUACCAACCCCUAUCAAACUCCGAAUACCAUUCAAUAGAGCGCAGCAGUGAGACGGCGGGGGAUAAGCUUCGUCGUCGAGAGGGAAACAGCCCAGAUCAGCAGCUAAGGUGCCUAAAUUGUGCUCAGUGGAAAGGAGGUGAGGUUUCAUAGACAGUGAGGAUGUUGGCUUAGAAGCAGCCACCAUUUAAAAAAUGCGUAAUAGCUUACUCAUCGAGAGACCUUGCGCCGAAAAUACUUGGCGAUAAGCACAAUACCGAAGCUCUGGGUGUCCUAGUUUACUAGGGCGCGGUAGAGGAGCAUUCUCUGUGCAGUGAAGGGUGAUGGCGACUGACCCUGGAGCGCAGAGAAGUGAGAAUGCAGACAUGAGUAACGAUAAGAGCGGUGAAAUCCCGCUCCGCCGUAAAUCCAAGGUUUCCCGGGCAACGUUUUUCGUCCCGGGGUUAGUCGGGACCUAACCCGAGGCCGAUGGGCGUAGGGGAUGGUAAGCAGGUUAAUAUUCCUGCACCCAGUAAGGAGGACGCAUAAUGAAAAGCUACUAGGUUAUUGAAUUCCGAGGCGAGGCUUAGGCCGGACCGUAUAGCUGGACAGAGUGCCAAGAAAAGCCCUUACAUUAAUGGCCCGUACCGUAAACCGACACAGGUGGAUGGGUAGAAUAUACCAAGGCGCAAGAGUGAAACCUGGUCAAGGAACUCGGCAAAAUAGCCCCGUAACUUCGGAAGAAGGGGUGCCCCCUCUGGGGGGCCGCAGUGAAAUGGCCCAACCGACUGUUUAGCAAAAACACAGCAUUGUGCUAAGGCGUAAGCCGACGUAUACGAUGUGACACGUGACCAAUGCCAAAAGAUUACGGUAAGAUGUUAGCACUUUAGUGCGAAGCUUCGAGCCCAAGUCCUGGUGAAUGUCGGCCGUAACUAUAACGGUCCUAAGGUAGCGAAAUUCCUUGUCGGGUAAGUUCCGACCUGCACGAAUCGUGCAACGAGUUGGGCGCUGUCUCGACCAGGUGCUCAGUGAAAUUGUAGUUCCGGUGAAGAUGCCGGACACCCGCAGAAGGACGGAAAGACCCUAUAGACCUUAACUGUAAGCUGUUAUUGGUUGUUCGAUCUUAAUGCUCAGCAUAAGUGGGAGACAUUGAAGGGUGCGUUUAGGCGCAUCUGGAGUCAUCAGUGAGAUACCACCCUUUAAUAUUGGAUAAUCUAACCCCGAGCCGUCAUCCGGCCGUGGGGACAAUGGCAGCCGGUCAGUUUUACUGGGGCGGUAUCCUCCUAAAGAGUAACGGAGGAGCGCGAAGGUGGGCUCAGCACAGUUGGCAACUGUGUGUUGAGUGUAAAGGCACAAGCCCGCCUAACUGUGAGACCUACAAGUCGAGCAGAUACGAAAGUAGGCCUUAGUGAUCCGGCGGUAGAAUGUGGAAUUGCCGUCGCUCAACGGAUAAAAGGUACCUUAGGGAUAACAGGCUUAUCACGCCCAAGAGUUCAUAUCGACGGCGUGGUUUGGCACCUCGAUGUCGGCUCGUCGCAUCCUGGGGCUGGAGAAGGUCCCAAGGGUCCGGCUGUUCGCCGGUUAAAGCGGCACGCGAGCUGGGUUCAGAACGUCGCGAGACAGUUCGGUCCUCUAUCCUCUGUGGGCGUAGGAAAAUUGAAGGGUUCAGACCUUAGUACGAGAGGACCGGGUUUGACGCACCUCUGGUGUUCCAGUUGUUCUGUCAAGGGCACUGCUGGGUAGCUAAGUGCGGAACGGAUAAGCGCUGAAAGCAUCUAAGCGCCAAGCCAUUCCUGAGAUAAAUUUUCCCUGAAGGAUCGUGGAAGACGACCACGUUGAUAGGCUGGGGGUAGAAGUGCAGCAAUGUAUGUAGCUCACCAGUACUAAUCAUCCGUUCGACUUAAUUCC